AGUAAUGUGUCUGACUAAAAGUAAUAAAUUGUAAAUUUAUUUAUAGAAUCGCUUUUCUCUUUACUA
rnacentral:tRNA from 1 species